CUCUCACCAGGCAGGUCCAGAGGAAGUGGCGGGCGCUGAGGCCCCUCUCCCAGGCCAGCGUGCAGAAGAGGGUGUGCAGUAGCCGCCAGCGGAGCAGCACAGCACAGCGGUAGAAGGUGAACUUGGCCUGCUGCAGGGACAGGCGUGGAGGGUCACCCACCGCCUAUGUCUGAGCCCUUUCCCCUAGAGGCCACAGGCCUCCAUGGGCACUGGAGGCAGCCUGCUGUGCGGGUGUUCCCUGGUUCUGUCCUGCUUGUGCCCCUCGGCAAGCCUCCCCGACCCUGGCAACAGCACCUGGCCCCCCGGAGCCCAGGCUGGUCUGCCCGCGGCCCUGGCCCUGCCCCUUCCACGGUUGCCCCGUAUCCUUUUCCCCAUGGCAGGGAGACCCGCGAGGCCAAGCUCUGACUUCGUGGGCUGUGCACAGGGCAUGUGCUGCCACGGCAGGCAGGGCACAGUCCAUAUUCACACAAGCUCUGUGAGCUGCUGGACCCCCUGCCCCGUUACAGGGACUGGGGGCACAGCAGUGAGCAGAAAAGACCGGGUCCUGCCGCAUCGACGGCAAGUCUCGCUCGCAUGCGUGUGCGCAGUGGGGGAGCGGGCAGGCCAACUGUGGUCACAGAAACCAGUGCAGAUGGCCAGACCCUCUGCCCGCCACUUGCUGCCCCGUGGGAGCUCCCCCAACUCUCAGGCAGUGCUGCUGCCAUCCGUCUGCCCCGUACCCUGGCCUCCUGUGGGUCCCAGCCCUGGCCAAGGUGAAGGCCUAUCACCUGCCUUUCCUGGGGUGGGCACUGACCGUGGCGACAGCUGGGCAUUGGUCCUUCAGGUGUAGGAGCAGGGGCACCAUGCUCUGGUGCACCUGGGUCCGCAGGCCGCUCAGCUCCCUGUCUGCCAUGGCCGCCACCAGGUCCCCGAACAGUGCCAUGGCUGCCGCCCGAAUCCCGUCCCGCUCCUGCAAGGCAGAGGCUCAGAGGCACGGCCAGACCUGUCCAGGGGUCCCAGCUUUGGUCCAAGUUGGGACCCCACACCUUGUAGGGGUACAACUCAGUUCUUUCUGCAGGAUUCCUUCACCCAGGCUCUCGGCUCCCGGGGAAGGGAAGGGCUGGGGCUCCCCCCUCACACAGGGCUCUCUGGUGUCCCUGAGGAUGUAAGAAUCACAUCUCCCUUCUACCCACAACUGCAUCCUGGCAGCCCAGGCCUCAUGAAUGCAUUUGAGGGGCGCCUAUCCCCCAGAUUCCCCAGUGAAGGAAAAACAGCCACGCUAACCGUGCUGACAUGUCAGAAAGCAAAUCUGGGUAGGCUGUCGUGGGGCCGGAGACCACUGCACUUGGAGACUGAACGUGAGAACUAGUUCAGCCCUGUGGAGAAGGGGGUCUCACACUGUCACCCAGGCUGGAGUACAGUGGUGUGACCAUAGCUUACUGCAGCCUUGACCUCCCAGGCUCAAGCAAUCCUCCCAACAUAACCUCCUGAGUAGCUGGGUCUACAGCCAGUUCCGUCUUCUCCACUUGAUUGCGUGUUUGCAGUGAUUUCCUGAGUUAUCGGGAUGAAUGGUCAGAAAGCAGUGUGCCCACCAAUGGAUGUUUCCUGCCAUUGGGCCCCUUAGCAGUGACUUGGGUGCAAACCAGGGUGAUUUUUACAACUUUUAAACAAGUUUAAAGCAGCUUUGUUGGCUUUCUUAGCUGUUUGCUUUGAAAAUAUUAAAUUCAUUUUCAGCAAGUGA
rnacentral:lncRNA from 1 species